CCCAGCCCGUACAACACCCAGUCAAACACUACCACCAAUGUUUGUGGGUGGGAAGCCAGUGAGGGAUCCUGCACUUCUACACCAUCAACUCCAACUGUGCAGAAGGGUGUAGGUGGCCCAACAUCUGGCCUCUACCUACAGUGGCCAGGGCACAACGAAGUGGUCAGCAGGGCUCACAUAACCCAAGAACAUUGGGCCAAGUCUUGUCUUGAUCCUGACAAGGCAACAAGAAAUAAAAGUUUUGACCAGCUAGCAUCUUGUGUUGGACGGCUACUUGAAGCCCUGUGCCAUGAGACCAGCUCAGACGGAUGGAUUUCAACACUAAUCCAUUUGAUGUAAGUGAAUUUAGGUUCUAAUUCAUGGGCUUGUGCACUGUAUAACAAGCCGGAAUCAGCAACACACGGUCCAUAAAUUGAAGAGGAGAGCGAGGAGGAGAGAGACAGAGUGUGGGAUGAGAGAAGGGGGUAGAAGAAUAUGGUGUUUAACUGGAAGGCAGUAUGUUUUAUCAGUCACUGGCACCAUUUAGCUGACAAAAAUGAGCAGGCCCAGCUCUGGGAAUAGGGCCUAGGCACCGGGUGUUCACCAAAUCCU